UACAGAGGUCCCGAGCGUUGUUCGGAUUCACUGGGCGUAAAGGGCGCGUAGGCGGCUCAUGAAGGCUGUGGUGAAAGUCCGGGGCUCAACCUCGGAUCGGCCGUGGCGACUCGUGGGCUGGAGCACUGUAGAGGCGGGUGGAAUUCCGGGUGUAGCGGUGGAAUGCGUAGAGAUCCGGAAGAACACCAGUGGCGAAGGCGGCCCGCUGGGCAGUGGCUGACGCUGAGGCGCGACAGCGUGGGGAGCAAACAGG
rnacentral:rRNA from 1 species